rnacentral:rRNA from 1 species
AGAAGCUUUGGUGUUUGGAAGAUGAAAUGGCAAAUACUUUUGAAGAUGCCAAGCUACUCAAUUGAAACCCAGAAGAUGGUAGUUGUUGAUACUAUGGCAUUGCACAACUAUGUUCGCUUUCAUGACAAAUCAGAUCUCCACUUUGUUCGAUGUGAUAGGGAUCCGGAUUAUGUGUCGACAAUUCCUGAACGGUAUAAGAAAUUUGUUGUUCUGACAAAUGCUUCAGAUACAUCAACUUUGGAGGAAAAUGGUGUUGACAUGGAUCUGUUUAGGAACCAACUUGCUACUGACAUUGCUCUAGGUUGGUGA